rnacentral:rRNA from 1 species
AUGAACGCUAGCGACAGGCCUAACACAUGCAAGUCAGGGCAGCACAAGGAGCAAUCUGAGGUGGCGACCGGCGCACGGGUGAGUAACACGUAUGCAACCUGCCUGUAAGCGGGGAAUAACCCGUUGAAAGACGGACUAAUACCGCAUAAUACUAAAUUACUGCAUGGUAAUUUAUUUAAACAUUUAUGGCUUACAGAUGGGCAUGCGCAUGAUUAGCUAGUUGGAGAGGUAACGGCUCCCCAAGGCAACGAUCAUUAGGGGUUCUGAGAGGAAGGUCCCCCCACACUGGUACUGAGACACGGACCAGACUCCUACGGGAGGCAGCAGUGAGGAAUAUUGGUCAAUGGACGAGAGUCUGAACCAGCCAAGUCGCGUGCAGGAAGAAUGUCCUAUGGAUUGUAAACUGCUUUUGCAGGGGAAUAAAGUGCAUCACGUGUGAUGUUUUGUAUGUACUCUGCGAAUAAGGAUCGGCUAACUCCGUGCCAGCCGCGGC